rnacentral:lncRNA from 1 species
ACCUAUGGACAAGCUUCUUGGUAGCUAUAACCACUGCAUGCUUGCUCAGCAGUGCAACGGAUUCCAUAUCACUGGACCAAACAACGUAUUUGAUAGCAGGUGUCUGAAGCUCACCAAGAACUAACCUUUGCUGAAGAUCAAAGAUGGCCACCCGAUCUUCAGCUUUGCAAAGCAGGUUACCGGUCCCAGCAUAAUAUAUUGCAUCAGUCGCAAUGGGAAGGGGGCUUUUCUUCACAAUUUCAUUCUUAAGAUUCUUCACCAAAACUUGAUUGCUACUCUUCUCAAGGACU